UACAGAGACUGCAAGCGUUAUUCGGAUUCACUGGGCGUAAAGGGUGCGCAGGCGGCCGAGUGUGUGAGGCGUGAAAGCCCGGGGCUUAACCCCGGAAUUGCACCUCAAACUACACGGCUAGAGCAUUGGAGAGGGUGGCAGAAUUCACGGUGUAGCAGUGAAAUGCGUAGAUACCGUGAGGAAUACCAGAGGCGAAGGCGGCUACCUGGACAAUUGCUGACGCUCAGGCACGAAAGCGUGGGGAGCAAAAGGG
rnacentral:rRNA from 1 species